rnacentral:rRNA from 1 species
CUAGAUGUUUCUUACCAGGGUUUCGUUCCAAGGUUCCGCUACAGGGUUCCGUAACCAAGGUUCCGUACCAGGUUCCGUAACAACGUUUCCUUACCAGGUUUCCGGUACCAGGUUCCGUAACAAAGUCUUCACAAAGGUUUUUUAGGUACCACCCUUUCGUUUAAACCUUUCCAUAACCGGGGGUUCCGGAACCUAAAUUUCCUAACAAGGUUCCGUAGGGAACCUGCCGAAGGAUCAUUGG